GACGACGCUGGCGGCGUGCCUAACACAUGCAAGUCGAGCGGGGCGACCGGAGGCGGUAGAGAUACCGAGGAAGGGCGCCUAGCGGCGAACGGGUGAGUAACGCGUGGGCAAUCUGCCCCCGGGAGCGGGAUAACAGACCGAAAGGCCUGCUAAUACCGCAUGAAGCCGUCAUAUCACAUGGUAAGACGGUAAAAGGGGAAACCCGCCGUGGGGAGGAGCCCGCGUCCCAUUAGCUAGUUGGUGGUGUAACGGACCACCAAGGCGAUGAUGGGUAGCCGGCCUGAGAGGGUGAACGGCCACAUUGGGACUGAGACACGGCCCAGACUCCGUACGGGGGGCAGCAGUGAGGGAUUUUCGGCAAUGGGCGAAAGCCUGACCGAGCGACGCCGCGUGAGCGAAGAAGGCCUUCGGGUCGUAAAGCUCUGUCUAGGGGGAAGAGAAAGGACGGUACCUCUGGAGGAAGCCACGGCUAACUACGUG
rnacentral:rRNA from 1 species